rnacentral:sRNA from 1 species
GCUGGACAUGGUGGCGAAUGUCUGUAAUCCAAGUGGCUUGGGAGGCUGAGGCAGGAGGAUUGCAAGUUCAAAGAGUUCAAAGCCAGCCUCAGCAACAGUGAGGCACUAAGCAACUCAGUGAGACUCUGUCUCUA